rnacentral:misc_RNA from 1 species
GUGCUUUUGGUCGAAAAUUUCUGAAAUUUUGAAGGAAGAUGACGCCACCAAAAUUUUAAAUGUUGCCGGAAAAGUUAAUCAACUCGUUGCUGGUUUAUUUCUAUUCUUGUUCCGUUGUAUAAACAGUGAAGAAGAAAAAGAAUAUCGCAUGGAAAGAAAGUCAACAAACUUUGCAUUAUAAGCAACUGAAAUAUAAAAGAAUAAAAAUGUUCGAUUUAUUCUAUUUUUUACUCCGAAAAUUAAACUAAUUUACAUAGCAAUUAAUGAGUUUUGCUUUAAAGAACUGUGUAGACUAGAAAUUCGUGCAAAGAUGAAUGGCAGACAUUUUGUCAUAUGCUUACUGUAUGUGACUCUUAACGAUAAAUUUUCCAUUUAUGCUAACGAUAUAACGUUCGAAACUGACGACUACUUCGAAGAAUAUUAUGAUGAUUAUACUGCCGAUACGUUUAGAGCAAAGGAAACAGGUACCAAAACUUCGUUUACCGAAGAAGAAAGGGAAGACAUUUUAGACUUAAGUAAUCUUUAUAGGAACAGCACUAAUCCCACAGCUGCAGAUAUGCUCAAACUGUACUGGAGUGAUGCAUUAGCAAAAUUGGCUGACCGUUGGUCAAGUCAAUGUAAGGUGUAUGAAAGUGGUGGACCAAGAGAUUGUUUCGAGUUCAUUGGUCAGAACAUUUACGUAGGGUUUAAAUCAUAUGAAGCUGCCUUAAAUGAUUGGUAUGAUGAAAGACAUUUGUAUGAUUACAAAAAUUAUUCGUGUGCAAUAAAGGAUAAAUGUAAUAAUUAUCUUAAUAUGGUAUCGGCUGAAACUCAUUCUGUAGGUUGCUCGAUAAGAGAUUGUUCCAGGACUGGAUAUAAGUAUCUGAUAGUUUGCAAUUAUUAUCCAAAGUUUAAUAGCUCAAAGACGAAACAUCCUUACUCAAAAGGAUUAUCGUGUGAAUCAUGUGUCGCGAAAACAAUAUGUGUUAACAGUUUGUGUGGUCGGUACAAAUUUUUUUAUUUAUAAUUAAGACAAUAAUUAUAUAAGCCACAAGUACCAGAAGACGAUUUGCAAACCUGUUCUGGAUUCAUACAGCAAAGUAAUAUACAAACAGUAUUUACAUUGGGACUAGUAAUUCCAAUGAUA